rnacentral:rRNA from 1 species
UACGUAGGGUGCGAGCGUUGUCCGGAAUUAUUGGGCGUAAAGAGCUCGUAGGCGGUUUGUCGCGUCGACUGUGAAAACCUGGGGCUUAACUCUGGGCCUGCAGUCGAUACGGGCAGACUUGAGUUCGGUAGGGGAGACUGGAAUUCCUGGUGUAGCGGUGAAAUGCGCAGAUAUCAGGAGUUACACCGGUGGCGAAGGCGGGUCUUUGGGCCGAUACUGACGCUGAGGAGCGAAAGCGUGGGGAGCGAACAGG